rnacentral:rRNA from 1 species
CGUGCCUAAUACAUGCAAGUCGAGCGGACAGAUGGGAGCUUGCUCCCUGAUGUUAGCGGCGGACGGGUGAGUAACACGUGGGUAACCUGCCUGUAAGACUGGGAUAACUCCGGGAAACCGGGGCUAAUACCGGAUGGUUGUUUGAACCGCAUGGUUCAAACAUAAAAGGUGGCUUCGGCUACCACUUACAGAUGGACCCGCGGCGCAUUAGCUAGUUGGUGAGGUAACGGCUCACCAAGGCAACGAUGCGUAGCCGACCUGAGAGGGUGAUCGGCCACACUGGGACUGAGACACGGCCCAGACUCCUACGGGAGGCAGCAGUAGGGAAUCUUCCGCAAUGGACGAAAGUCUGACGGAGCAACGCCGCGUGAGUGAUGAAGGUUUUCGGAUCGUAAAGCUCUGUUGUUAGGGAAGAACA